GUGGGGAAUUUUGGACAAUGGGCGCAAGCCUGAUCCAGCAAUGCCGCGUGCAGGAAGAAGGCCUUCGGGUUGUAAACUGCUUUUGUACGGAACGAAACGGUCCUGGUUAAUACCUGGGGCUAAUGACGGUACCGUAAGAAUAAGCACCGGCUAACUACGUGCCAGCAGCCGCGGUAAUACGUAGGGUGCGAGCGUUAAUCGGAAUUACUGGGCGUAAAGCGAGCGCAGGCGGUGCUGUAAGACGGGCGUGAAAUCCCCGGGCUCAACCUGGGAAUUGCGCUGGUGACUGCAGUGCUGGAGUACGGCAGAGGGGGAUGGAAUUCCGCGUGUAGCAGUGAAAUGCGUAGAUAUGCGGAGGAACACCGAUGGCGAAGGCAGUCCCCUGGGCCUGUACUGACGCUCAUGCACGAAAGCGUGGGGAGCAAACAGGAUUAGAAACCCUUGUAGUCC
rnacentral:rRNA from 1 species